CUCUCAAUCCCUGAUAGUUUAGUGUUUUGCUUGAUCUACAUCUGGUUGUCAUGAUGGAUCCAUACUACCCCUGAACUGGACCAAACUACGCACACAGAAGAGGACCUGAGCCCUAGGACCAUGUCUCAGAAUGACCUGGCCUGAUGACUCCUUGCUGUCCCCAGUCCACCUGGCCGUGCUGCUGCUCCAGUUUCAACUGUUCUGCCUGCGGUUAUGGAAUCCUGACCUGUUCACCGGAUGUGCUACCUGUCCCAGACCUGCUGUUUUCAACUCUCUAGAAACAGCAGGAGCGGUAGAGAUACUCUGAAUAAUCGGCUAUGAAAAGUCAACUGACAUUUACUCCUAGGGAUUAUUAUUAUUUGACCCUGCUGGUCAUCUAUGAACAUUUGAACAUCUUGGCCGUGUUCUGUUAUAAUCUCCACCCGGCACAGCCAGAAGAGGACUGGCCACCCCUCAUAGCCUGGUUCCUCUCUAGGUUUCUUCCUAGGUUCUGGCCUUUCUAGGGAGUUUUUCCUAGCCACCGGGCUUCUACACCUGCAUUGCUUGCUAUUUGGGGUUUUAGGCUGGCUUUCUGUACAGCACUUUGAGAUAUCAGCUGAUGUAAGAAGGGCUUUAUAAAUACAUUUGAUUUGAUUUGAGUAUCACAUUUGUACAUGGCAAAACAGACAGUCCAAAAAUGUAUCAUGAAGAAUACGGUUUUGAAAUGUCUUACAUCUGAGAUACAAUAGAUACAAUUUAGACACAAGUUUGGUCCCUUUAUUCAUGGCACUGUUUACUCUUGUGCCUCCACUCCUGUGAAUCUUGUAUGCGUCAUUGAGCAAAACAACCAACACCCCUUUCAAUAUUGGUGUCUUAUAGCUCAAAUGUACAAUGUAGAAAAUAGUCAAAAUAAAGAAAAACCCGGGAAUGAGUAGAUGUGUC
rnacentral:lncRNA from 1 species